CAAUAGCGUAUAUUAAAGUUGUUGCAGUUAAAAAGCUCGUAGUUGGAUUUCGGGGUGGCCUGCCUGGUCCACCGCAAGGUGAGUACUGGUCAGCCGCCCUUCCUCUCGAAAGCCCCGACUGCUCUUCAUUGCAGUGGUCGGGUAGUUCGGGACGUUUACUUUGAAAAAAUUAGAGUGUUCAAGGCAGGCCGUCGCCUGAAUACAUUAGCAUGGAAUAAUGGAAGAGGACCUCGGUCCUAUUUUGUUGGUUUCUAGGGCCGAAGUAAUGAUUAAGAGGGACAGUUGGGGGCAUUCGUAUUCAAUUGUCAGAGGUGAAAUUCUUGGAUUUAUGAAAGACGAACUAGUGCGAAAGCAUUUGCCAAGGAUGUUUUCAUUAA
rnacentral:rRNA from 1 species